UAACUAGCUGUCCGGGUUCAUGGAAUUUGGGUGGCGCAGCUAACGCAUUAAGUUAUCCGCCUGGGGAGUACGGUCGCAAGAUUAAAACUCAAAGGAAUUGACGGGGGCCUGCACAAGCGGUGGAGCAUAUGGUUUAAUUCGAAGCAACGCGCAGAACCUUACCAGCGUUUGACAUCCUCAUCGCGUUUACCAGAGAUGGUUUACUUCAGUUCGGCUGGAUGAGUGACAGGUGCUGCAUGGCUGUCGUCAG
rnacentral:rRNA from 1 species